rnacentral:rRNA from 1 species
AGAGUUUGAUCCUGGCUCAGAUUGAACGCUGGCGGCAGGCCUAACACAUGCAAGUCGAGCGGAUGAGGGGUGCUUGCACCCCGAUUCAGCGGCGGACGGGUGAGUAAUGCCUAGGAAUCUGCCCGAUAGUGGGGGACAACGUUUCGAAAGGAACGCCAAUACCGCAUACGUCCUACGGGAGAAAGUGGGGGCUCUUCGGACCUCACGCUAUCGGAUGAGCCUAGGUCGGAUUAGCUAGUUGGUGGGGUAAAGGCCCACCAAGGCGACGAUCCGUAACUGGUCUGAGAGGAUGAUCAGUCACACUGGAACUGAGACACGGUCCAGACUCCUACGGGAGGCAGCAGUGGGGAAUAUUGGACAAUGGGCGAAAGCCUGAUCCAGCCAUGCCGCGUGUGUGAAGAAGGUCUUCGGAUUGUAAAGCACUUUAAGUCGGGAGGAAGGGCUGUAGGUUAAUACCCUGCGGUUUUGACGUUACCGACAGAAUAAGCACCGGCUAACUUCGUGCCAGCAGCCGCGGUAAUACGAAGGGUGCAAGCGUUAAUCGGAAUUACUGGGCGUAAAGCGCGCGUAGGUGGUUUGGUAAGUUGGAUGUGAAAGCCCCGGGCUCAACCUGGGAACUGCAUCCAAAACUGCCUGACUAGAGUACGGUAGAGGGUGGUGGAAUUUCCUGUGUAGCGGUGAAAUGCGUAGAUAUAGGAAGGAACACCAGUGGCGAAGGCGACCACCUGGACUGAUACUGACACUGAGGUGCGAAAGCGUGGGGAGCAAACAGGAUUAGAUACCCUGGUAGUCCACGCCGUAAACGAUGUCGACUAGCCGUUGGGCUCCUUGAGAGCUUAGUGGCGCAGCUAACGCAUUAAGUCGACUGCCUGGGGGAGUACGGCCGCAAGGUUAAAACUUAAAUGAAUUGACGG